UUAACGAGCGAGUGUUUUAAAACUUGUUAUUUUUAAUUCGCGCACCAUUCUAUUAUCGAUGUACCAAAAUAACCCAAAAGGCAGUGAUCUAGUGUUAAUUCUCGAGCUCAAAGACAAAAAUUACGCACUCCAUCUUUCCGGCCAAUUCGAGAUUCCAGCGACGAGGUGCUUCAAUGACCAACUAAUGAUUUCGCCAUUUUGCGACAAUUGAUGUAUUCGAGGUAUGACCCGAGGUGGUUGGAGGUGGUCGGAAGUGUUUAAGGGAGGUUGCGGGGGAUCGAGGUGGAUGAGGAGAAGGACGGAAAGGAGGAGGAGUAGAUAGAUGAGGAGAAAAAAGUGGACGAGGAGGACGAGGAUAACGAGGAUUUCUGCACUUGAUCGAGGUAUAACCCGAGGUGGUUAGCCGUGGUCGUUAGAGGUGGUUGGCAGCGGUUGGAGGUGAUCGGAGGUGGACGAGGAGGAGGACGAGAAAGACGAGGAUUUGUGCUCGGUAUAACCCGAGGCAGUUCGCGGUGGUUGCGGGUGAUCGAGGUGGGCGAGGAGGAGGACGAGGAUGACGAGGACUUGUACACUUUCUGUGCCCCACCUAUAGUGAUCC